rnacentral:lncRNA from 1 species
CUUAAUCCAUGUGUGUGCGAACCGCGAUGCCUAGUUCUUCCCUCUGAAACCUAGGGAUAGUAUUCCCAUCCGAGAAAGCAGAGCUACAGCAAAUUACAUUUUGUCCCUCGAAUUAGAAAAGGAUCAUUGAGUGGAUCUCGUGAUAUUUCAGCCUUUAAACGUAACCGAGAGGCAGCAGUGAACAAUGCCUCGGCACAGCUCAGACCAUCCGCGGAGUUCUCCUUCCCUCUCCUUGCAUCUGGAUCUCCCAGCCUUGCCUUUCUCCUGCUCGCUCGUGUGAGAGGCAAAAAAAGCAAAGUUUCGAAAGAAAACAGCUGCUGGCGCUAAAGAGAAAUCAUCGUGGUCUUUCUAGAGCUAGAGACAAUAAGGUCGUUUAAAAAUUCCUCCUGAUGUACUUAUAUGCUGCGAACACCCCCACCCCCUCCCUACUGCUCUCCUCCCCCUGCUUUAAGGUUAAGGCUAUGGAGUCAACAGUAAAGGAACAGUAAACUCUGAGAAAGCUGCUCAGAAGACGUUACCCAAAAGCCCGAUGGGCUGAAAAGUCCUUUAUUUGUCAGGUAGUUAAUCUGGGUCGGAUUGCCGUGUAAAUCCACGCGUGCUUUGCACGCAGGGAGCCACGGGCAUCCAAACCCGCACCCACACGCUGCUGGUGAUAGCCUGGCAGUGGCAUUCGGCAGCUGUUUAAAAAAUGCCCUUUUUUAAAAUUAUUUUUUUAUUUCCUUUUUUUUUUUUUUUUUUUUUUUAAUAAUUCCAGUGCUACCAAACGUUUAAAACUAGUGACGGCUUUUCGGCAAACCUCGGGUUCCCGAAAGGUGCGGCCAUGAGCACCGGGGUCGAGGCAGCGCCAGAUGUCGGCAGGGAGAAACCCACCAGAAGUCUUGGGAAAUGUCAGGCGCCCAACCUACACAUCCCCACCGUAUACUUACACACACUUUCGGUUGCAUAUCUUUCUCCGCAUCUCACACAAGAGAGCUUUGUUUCUUUACUUCUCCAUCAUUUGGUUUGGUUCUUUUUGUGCGUGUGCGUGUGCGUGUGUGUGCGCCCUUUCCCUUGGCCAUCGGCACACGUUUUGUAUCCGGGGUCGUCUUGAAGCAGGCUGGGGGAGAUCCUGAUAAACAGCCAUCAGAGGCCCCUUGCACACGCACACGCACAUUAAAGGCAGGGGACUUGAAAAUGGAUUUGCACGCACACAGGGGAUUGCGAUCAAUAGCCACCAACAUUUAUGGCUUAGAUUGUUAAUGUGAAAGCUGGUCAAAAUAAUGAAAAUGAAAAAUUAAAGGUGUCUGGUGUCAAUUACAUGAAAAGUUAUGCCAUAAUUUACUUACUGGGAUAUAUGCCUAUGUGUUCGUGUGUCCAUGUGCAUGUGUGUGCAGACCCAGAUGUACAUGUAGCUGUCUCAAAAGCAAGGGAAUUUCUUUGUUAAUUUUGUGGACUGUGUCACCCUCACUGGUGAUCAAAGAUGAACAUGAUUAAAGGAAUGGAUGUUUGUCUCACAUUUCUUAAGAUAAGCACAGCCAGAGAUGCCCGGUUUUGCCAAGUACAUACACAUGCAACUACAGAGAGUUGUGUGUAUGGGCGCAUACAUACACAGAGGCGAUCAAUCAAACGUGCUCCUUUUCACAUUGAGUAGCGUGCAAUUUGCAAUCUACACUCUAUAGCCAGUAGUAUUUCAGUCUUAAAACUGUCUGGCUGAAGGAUAAACCUCAUUAGGAAAGAAAGAGCAAAAUAAUAUUCAUAAUACUUCACUGUAGACCUAUUCCCAUUUGUUGAAAAUCAUAUACUUUUAUUUUUGUAAACUUGUGUUAAAAUAUAUAUGCUCAGAGGGAACUGCUUAGCUAUGUCAUUCCAGAAAGACAACGCGUGUAACAUUUCAAAUACUCCUUUUACGUGAUGUUUUGAUUUAUUUUCAUAGUAUGAUUAUGUUUAAAUACCAGUGCAAUUUAGUCUGACCUCUUCCUUCUCCAAGGUAGUAAUGCACAUACCAUUUACAGUCUUUUAAAUGUUUCAUUGGGAAAUGCAACAGCAAUGUCCACCACUGGUUGUACUAAUGGAGAGAAUUCUGAACAUCUUCAGGAAAACCUAAGGGUCAUGUGCGUUUUCACAAUAGGAUUGCCACAUUAUUAGAAUAUUACUAUUAUUUAUUAUUAUUUGUUAAUGCUGGGAUAUGUCUUCAGGUAUUGACACUUAUUAAAUAAACCUUUUGCUU